GUCUAUGGCCAUGCCGCCCUGAACAGGCCGAUUUGGUCUGAUCUCGGAAGCUGAGCAAGGUCGGGUUAGUAUUUGCAUGGGAGACUACCUAGGAAGACCAGGUGCUGUAGGUA
rnacentral:rRNA from 1 species